ACCGCAGCACAAAGGAACACUCUGGAUUGAGUGUUUUUGUGAGAGAAGGGAAGGUCCGGUAGUUUUAUACGCGUGACGUAAUAUACUUCGUAGAGUAACCGUAUAUGGUGACAUAGGGAUGCAACUGCAAGUGGGCUUUGGCCGUACCCAAAUAUAAAGAGCUAACAACAUUUACAGCGCCACCAAAAGGUGCUAACACCAUUAUCUAAUCUUUUAUAUUUCCAAAUUGGGGCCCGGUUUGAUUCGCCAAACAAUUCGAAUUUGAAUGGAUCGCCGUCUAUACUUAAUUACUUGAUCGUGUCUAAUCCGGCGGGAAGAGCCGGCGCCGCUGUUUUAUCCCUGGCGGAGGCUUCUCCGCUGCCGUAUCAUCGGUUUCUCCGCCGACGUUGUCUGUGAUCGGCGAUCGCCACCUUCAUCGCAGCUCGUAAAGCUAUUAUCGGCUUCUCGCUGAUCUCACGAGGGUUGAGGCUUUUGGGCUUUUCAAAGGGGUGGUUGGAUUAUGUUUCUUUAAAUUCUGCAGUAUUGGCAAAUGAGUACUAGUGGAUCAACUGCUUUUCUAACAUGCAGGACUCUCAAUGCAUGUAUUAAAUAUGGUAAUUGUGAUCCCACAGGUGUUAUGAUUAUUAAAAUGUGCUGAACGAUGAGGUAAAAUUCAUGGCCCCCCAAACCUGUUUUGGAAUUCGGGUUAUGAUUUUCUUGAAGUUUGUUUCAGCCAAAGAUGUUAGAAUAUAUUUUAUUUAAAAGCAGAAAAUUCAGUGCUUUUGUUGUUUGAGGAGAUGAUGUCUACUGUCACCGCAUCUGUUUCUGAUUCUGUUUUCUGCUUCUGCUUUGCUCUGUUCUGUUCUGUUCUUUUUCCCUUGGCGUUUGCAGGCACACACACAAACACACAGAGAGGAGAGCAAAAGGCCCCCCACUUGGAGACGUUCUCAUCCCUUGUUCUGAAAAAUGGAUACAAAAUUCAAAUGGUUGGAAAUGCAGCACGUAUGGGGAAGAAAUUAAAAAUUAAAAAUAAAAUAAAGGAUGGGUUUGUUUGUUUUUACAGUUAUAUAUAUAUAUAUAUUUUUUAAUUUAAUUUUCAGUGUGUUUCCUUUCUCCCGUCUGCCGGUUCUCCAUACAGCCAUCUACUGCUACUGUCACCCUCCAUUAACCUUGGUGGUCCCUCUGCAGUUUUGCAUGAUGAUAAUGGAUGAUGGUGGUGGUGAUGAUGAUGAUGAACUACCAUGGUACCAUUCCCCUUCUCUCUCUCUCACGUACCACUACAAAUUUGGAUAAGCUUUAAAGCUAACCACUCGGUAAUUUGAAAUGAAUCCACUCUAGUGAUAUAAUCUGUCUUUUAAGUAUACAU